AGAGUUUGAUCCUGGCUCAGGAUGAACGCUGGCGGCGUGCCUAACACAUGCAAGUCGAACGGACUAUCUGGAAGAUCUUUUCGGAGUGAUUCCUAAUAGUUUAGUGGCGGACGGGUGAGUACGCGUGGAUAACCUGCCUUUCACAGGGGGAUAGCAGCUGGAAACGGCUGGUAAUACCGCUACGCUCAGAGCACCGCAUGAUGCUCUGAGGAAAGAUUUAUCGGUGAAAGAUGGAUCCGCUCUGAUUAGCCAGUUGGCGGGGUAACGGCCCACCAAAGCGACGAUCAGUAGCCGGCCUGAAGGGCGGACGGCCACAUUGGGACUGAGACACGGCCCAGACUCCUACGGGAGGCAGCAGUGGGGAUAUUGCACAAUGGGCGCAAGCCUGAUGCAGCGACGCCGCGUGAGUGAAGAAGUAUUCGGUAUGUAAAGCUCUAUCAGCAGGGAAGAAAGACCCGCAAGGGGGAUGACGGUACCUGAUAAGAAGCCCCGGCUAACUACGUGCCAGCAGCCGCGGUAAUACGUAGGGGGC
rnacentral:rRNA from 1 species